rnacentral:rRNA from 1 species
AUACGGAGGAUCCGAGCGUUAUCCGGAUUUAUUGGGUUUAAAGGGUGCGCAGGCGGGAUGUUAAGUCGGCGGUGAAAUUUUGCAGCUCAACUGUAAAAGUGCCUUCGAAACUGGUUUUCUUGAGUGUAGAUGAAGUAGGCGGAAUUUGUGGUGUAGCGGUGAAAUGCUUAGAUAUCACGAAGAACUCCAAUUGCGAAGGCAGCUUACCGGGGUACAACUGACGCUGAGGCACGAAAGUGUGGGCAUC